UCCCUGAUGGUCUAGUGGUCAGGAUUCAGUGUUUUCACCGCUGCAGCCUGGGUUCAAUUCCUGGUCAGGGAA